rfam:TPA: Bos taurus chromosome 16, whole genome shotgun sequence.
UCCCUGGUGGCUUAGAUGGUAAAGUGUCUGCCUAUAAUGCAGAAGACCCAGGUUCAAUCCCUGGUUUGGGAA